ensembl:snoRNA
GUGACUGAGUGAGACUCUGUCUCAAAAAAAAAAAGCAGGAAUCUUGGGCCAUUGUAACAAGGCACACAAAAUUUGGAACCUCCCUAUGAACAAUUUCCCUACAUGU